rnacentral:tRNA from 1 species
AUUAUAUUAGCAUAUUAGUGCAUUAAAUUUAGAAUUUAAAUAAAUUACAUAUAAAUUAUUGUAGUAUAUAAUA